rnacentral:sRNA from 1 species
UGAUCAGGCAGGGUAAAGAAAUUUUUAUAUACUUGAGGUCCUCGUUUAUAAUUUUAACUGCUUGCAAUCUAUUUUAUUUGGCGUUAUUAUCAUAAUAUCAUGGCCUGAAUUUAAUUAAACUAAAAAACUCUAUAUAUUAAUCUUGUCAUUAGUUUCACAUAACCGAGUACAUAUCCUUUUUUAUGUGGUGAAAAGUGAAGUGAAAGCAUGUACGAGGAGAAAAGCACUAACAUGCCCUUCGUCUAUCACAAUCAAUUCAGCAGGAUUGGGAUGGGUGCAACUCUGGGGUUGUCAUGCUUGAGCUGCU